ensembl:lncRNA
AUAGAGAAGAGGAUAGAGAAGAGGAUAGAGAAGAGGAUAGAGAAGAGGAUAGAGCAGAGGAUAGAGAAGAGGAAAGAUAAGAGGAUAGAGAAGAGGAUAGAGCAGGGGAUAGAGAAGAGGAAAGAUAAGAGGAUAGAGAAGAGGAUUGAGAAGAGGAUAGAGAAGAGGAUAGAGAAGAGGAUAGAGAACAGGAAAGAUAAGAGGAUAGAGAAGAGGAUAGAGCAGGGGAUAGAGAAGAGGAUAGAGAAGAGGAUAGAGAAGAGGAUAGAGCAGGGGAUAGAGAAGAGGAUAGAGAACAGGAAAGAUAAGAGGAAAGAGAAGAGGAUAGAGAAGAGGAUAGAGCAGGGGAUAGAGAAGAGGAUAGAGAACAGGAAAGAUAAGAGGAUAGAGAAGAGGAUAGAGCAGGGGAUAGAGAAGAGGAUAGAGAAGAGGAAAGAUAAGAGGAUAGAGAAGAGGAUAGAGAAGAGGAUAGAGAAGAGGAUAGAGAAGAGGAUAGAGCAGGGGAUAGAGAAGAGGAUAGAGAAGAGGAUAGAGAAGAGGAUAGAGAAGAGGAUAGAGAAGAGGAUAGAGAAGAGGAUAGAGCAGGGGAUAGAGAAGAGGAUAGAGAAGAGGAUAGAGAAGAGGAUAGAGAAGAGGAUAGAGAAGAGGAUAGAGCAGGGGAUAGAGAAGAGGAUAGAGAAGAGGAUAGAGAAGAGGAUAGAGCAGAGGAUAGAGAAGAGGAUAGAGCAGGGGAUAGAGAAGAGGAUAGAGAAUAUGAUAGAGCAGGGGAUAGAGAAGAGGAUAGAGCAGAGGAUAGGGAAGAGGAUAGAGCAGGGGAUAGAGAAGAGGAUGGAGCAGGGGGAUAGAGAAGAGUAUAGAGCAGGGGGAUAGAGAAGGGGAUAUAGAGGAGAAUAGGGAAGAGGAUAGAGCAGAGGAAAGAGAAGAGGAUAGAGAAGAGGAUAGAGAAGAGGAUAGGGAAGAGGAUAGAGAAGAGGAUAGAGAAGAGGAUAGAGCAGGGGAUAGAGAAGAGGAUGAUAGAGAAGAUGAUAGAGCAGGGGAUAGAGAAGAGGAUAGAGAAGAUGAUAGAGAAGAGGAUAGAGAAGAUCAUAGAGAAGAUGAUAGAGAAGAGGAUAGAGAAGAGGAUAGAGCAGGGGAUAGAGAAGAGGAUGAUAGAGAAGCGGAUAGAGCAGGGGAUAGAGCAGAGGAUAGAGCAGAUGGUUAGAGAAGAGGAUAGAGAAGAUGAUAGAGCAGGGGAUAGAGAAGAGGAUAGAGAAGAGGAUAGAGAAGAUGAUAGAGAAGAGGAUAGAGAAGAGGAUAGAGCAGGGGAUAGAGAAGAGGAUAGAGAAG